rnacentral:rRNA from 1 species
AGAGUUUGAUCAUGGCUCAGAACGAACGCUGGCGGCGUGCUUAACACAUGCAAGUCGCGUGCGCAGUCUGUAGCAAUACAGGCCGGCGCACGGCGCACGGGUGCGUAACACGUGGGCAAUCUGCCCUCUGAUGGGGAAUAACCCCGCGAAAGCGGGGCUAAUUCCGCAUAAAAUUCCGAGGACUUCGGUUUUUGGAUUCAAAGCAGUAAUGCGUCAGAGGAGGAGCCCGCGCCCGAUUAGCUAGUUGGUGAGGUAACGGCUCACCAAGGCAAUGAUCGGUAGCUGGUCUGAGAGGAUGAUCAGCCACACUGGAACUGAGACACGGUCCAGACUCCUACGGGAGGCAGCAGUGGGGAAUCUUGCACAAUGGGCGAAAGCCUGAUGCAGCGACGCCGCGUGGGGGAUGAAGCUUUUCGGAGUGUAAACCCCUUUCGACUGGGAAGAAAACCCGCAAGGGAUUGACGGUACCAGUAUAAGAAGCCCCGGCUAACUACGUGCCAGCAGCCGCGGUAAGACGUAGGGGGCCAGCGUUGUUCGGAAUUACUGGGUGUAAAGGGUUCGUAGGCGGUGCGGCAAGUUGGGAGUGAAAUCUCUGGGCUCAACCCAGAGGCUGCUUCCAAAACUGCUGUGCUUGAGUGUGAGAGAGGCUCGUGGAAUUGCAGGUGUAGCGGUGAAAUGCGUAGAUAUCUGCAGGAACACCCGUGGCGAAAGCGGCGAGCUGGAUCACUACUGACGCUGAGGAACGAAAGCUAGGGGAGCAAACAGGAUUAGAUACCCUGGUAGUCCUAGCCCUAAACGAUCAGGACUUGGGGUGCCGCCCGUUCGGGCGUCGUCCCGGAGCUAACGCGUUAAGUCCUGCACCUGGGGAGUACGUCGCAGACUGAACUCAAGAAUUGACGGGGCCCCGCACAAGCGUGGAACAUGUGGUUCAAUUCGACGCUACGCGAGGAACUUACCUGGGCCUC